AGAAAAUGCAGCACGAGAGAGGAGCCGCGUACGCACCUGAGACAGGCCUUCCACAGCCUGCAGGUACACUGGACAUACACUGACACUGAACGAAGGCCUGCAGGCUGCUCUGCCCUCAGUCCCACCGACACCAAGCUGUCCAGCUGGAUGUUCUGGUUCUAGCUACUAACUACAUAGCUUACCUAACAGAGACCUUGGAUCAGGGAGGGACACUGGCUGAGCACACUCUGCCCUCCAGGCAGGGUGGAUACCUGCAUCCUGUUAAGAAAUGGCCCAUGCGUUCCUUGCUCUACUGUGGCAGUGUGGGAGAGCUUCUAUCAGGAGUCCCAGCCAAUCAGAUGUCUCAACUUGGACAAGAUGGG